rnacentral:rRNA from 1 species
AACGAACGCUGGCGGCGUGCCUAACACAUGCAAGUCGAACGUGAUCUAUCCUUCGGGGUAGUGAAAGUGGCGCACGGGUGAGUAACGCGUAGAUAAUCUGCCCGAUGCUCUGGGAUAACAUCUCGAAAGGGGUGCUAAUACCGGAUAAGCCCACGGGGUCUUUGGACCCUGCGGGAAAAGAGGGGGACCUUUGGGCCUCUUGACAUCGGAUGAGUCUGCGUACCAUUAGCUAGUUGGUGGGGUAAAGGCCUACCAAGGCGACGAUGGUUAGCUGGUCUGAGAGGAUGAUCAGCCACACUGGAACUGAGACACGGUCCAGACUCCUACGGGAGGCAGCAGUGGGGAAUUUUGCGCAAUGGGGGAAACCCUGACGCAGCAACGCCGCGUGAGUGAUGAAGGCCUUCGGGUCGUAAAGCUCUGUCAGAGGGAAAGAAAUGCGGGGUGUUAAUACCAUUUCCGCUUGACGGUACCCUCAAAGGAAGCACCGGCUAACUCCGUGCCAGCCGCCGCGGUAAGAC